GACGAAGGGGGCUAGCGUUGUUCGGAAUUACUGGGCGUAAAGCGAGUGUAGGUGGUUGUCCAAGUUGGAUGUGAAAGCCUUGAGCUCAACUCAAGAAAUGCAUUCAGGACUGGGCGGCUAGAGGACCGGAGAGGAUAGUGGAAUUCCCAGUGUAGUGGUGAAAUGCGUAGAUAUCCGGAGGAACACCAGUGGCGAAGGCGACUUUCUGGCCUGUUCUUGACGCUGAGGCGCGAAAGCGUGGGGAGCAAACAGG
rnacentral:rRNA from 1 species